GCUGGGCACGGUGGCGGGCGCCUGUAAUCCCAGCUACUCAGGAGGCUGAGACAGGAGAAUCGCUUGAACCUGGGAAGUGGAGGUUGCAGUGAGCUAAGAUUGUGCCACUGCACUCUACCCUGGGUGAAAGAGCAAGACUCUGUCUCAA
rfam:Pan troglodytes isolate Yerkes chimp pedigree #C0471 (Clint) chromosome 17, whole genome shotgun sequence.